AAUCAACGCUGGCGGCGUGCCUCAGACAUGCAAGUCGAACGAUUAAAGCUCUCUUCGGAGAGUGUAUAGAGUGGCGCACGGGUGAGUAACACGUAAGUAAUCUACCCUCGAGUGGGGAAUAACAACCGGAAACGGUUGCUAAUACCGCAUAAUGCAGCGGCACCGCAAGGUGGCAGUUGUUAAAGAUUUAUCGCUUGAGGAGGAGCUUGCGGCAGAUUAGCUAGUUGGUAGGGUAACGGCUUACCAAGGCUACGAUCUGUAACCGGUCUAAGAGGACGGUCGGUCACACUGACACUGAAUAACGGGUCAGACUCCUACGGGAGG
rnacentral:rRNA from 1 species